CCAAGGCGGAAGAUGCCAGGGCUAGGCUGGAUGAAGAAAUGCUACCAGAUGAUUGACAGACGGUUGCGCAAGAAUUUGAAGUCAUUCAUCAUUGUCCACCCGUCUUGGUUCAUCAGAACAAUCCUUGCAGUGACUCGGCCUUUUAUAAGCUCAAAAUUCAGCAGUAAAAUUAAAUAUGUGUCUAGUUUAUCCGAGCUCAGUGGGUUGAUCCCCAUGGACUGCAUCCACAUUCCAGAGAGCAUCAUCAAGUACGAUGAAGAGAAAUCUUUUAAAAGAAGUGUGAGAACUAGCUGCCUUUACAAUGAUCCAGAAAUGACUUCUAUGGAAAAGGACAUUGACAUGAAGCUAAAAGAAAAGCCCUAAUGGCCUGCGGGAGGAAUCGCUCUCUGCUUCGUGAUUUUGCUGGGACACACCUACCUGGAAGCGACAGAAAUGGUGACAUCUCCACUUUGCACCACCUGGUGCCAUUGGAAACCUCGGGGGGGGGGGGGAGGGAUGGGAAGAGAAUUUGUUUACGGUUAACAUAUUUUAUGAAAUGUUGUGUAUUUUCCUAUUUUUGCCAAUUAUGUGCCUCAAUGAUUUUAGUUGAACCUUAGCAAGAAGAUAGGACCUUCCAUUUUACUCUGACGUCAGUCCUUGGUGCAGUGGGACUCGGUUCCUUAGACUGGUGUUUACCGAAAGCAAAGCCUAAUUCUGUUGUUUGACAGACAUAGAUACAUUUCUGUAGACUGACUGAACUUCCCUGCAGAGCUUGCUCUAGAGUUAAGAUGCACAGGGCUUGCCUUGUCCUGUGAAUGUGGCUCUCUGGAACUCUAUGAAAAGCUGAGCCUGAAUAGGACAGACAGACAGAUAGCAAAUCCCCUUCAGCUAAGGCAUCUCCUCCCUUCCUAUCCACAUCAGUCAUCUUUCAGUUUUUCAGAAGGAACCUGGGCUCUCUAACCCAUGUACACUUUACUUUCUGUAUCUGUUUGUAAAUCGCUCCUUUACAACAUCACUCCCUAAUGAUCUCUGAAGAACUUCAUAUUGUGAAACUUAAGAUGAACUGUGCUUCAGGCCACAGAACAGGCUCCAACCUUUAUGCUUCGUGUGCCAACUCCCAGGUGGCCCACUCAGAAAUUAUUGGGUAACAUCGAAUCAUCCAAAAUUAACACUCGGAUGCAUUGCAAGCACAGUCUGCUUUAAGAAACUUAACGUUAGGGUUGGAGAUUUGGCUCAGUGGUAGAGCGCUUGCCUAGGAAGCGCAAGGCCCUGGGUUCAGUCCCCAGCU
rnacentral:lncRNA from 1 species